AGCCGCCCGCCGGCCCGCGGGGCGCAGGACGCGAGUGUGCGCGGGGGACGGGCCGCGCGCGGGACACAAAAGGGAAGGGCCGCGCGGGGGCGGCGGGCGGGGAGCCGCGGCCCCACCGAAGGGACCCCCGGCCGCCGAGCGGCCUCUACGUCAGCGCCCCGGGUGGCGCCGCCUCCGCCCGCCGGCCUGGGCCGCCGCUCCCGCCGCCGGGGAGGCGGGCCGGGGGACUCGCCGGGGGAGAAGAUAAUGAUUGCGGUUAUCCAACAUUUACCAAAUGCUUGCCAGGCACAGAGCACAAGGAGUUACCAGCAUCAGCCAGACCUUUGUAAAGCACUUAGCAUAUCACCUGUGUCCUGAUGGCUGCUGUCACACACUCAGACUCACGCCGGUGCUGUUAGGUGAACUAUCCAGCUCAGGGGGGGCCUGUCGCUGUACUGCGUGGGACACACACAGCAGGCACCUCUCCUACUGGAGGACAUCCUUGGGGGCAGCUCUCUCUUCCAUCAAGUUUAUUCUACUCUCAGUUUUUCUCCGUUCUCAUGGCUGUGUCCUCAGCAGCAAGCACAGCACUCCCUUUGUCCUCGCAGGCAAUGGUAUGAAUGAAGGUAGAGACAGUGAACUAUCUUGAAAUUCUUGCCUUUGGCCUGAUUGUUUUGGGAAUCGUAAAAGAGCCAGGGGGAGACGUUAGAAGUUCUGUGUCAAUUGAAAAAUGAAGAAACUGAGGGCAAAUUAAACCUAAGAGGGAAAUGUUCACCCUCACUAGAAAUCAAAGUCAUGCAAAUGAAAACCCAUUUUUACGUGUCAAAGUGGCAAAGGCCAUUGCCUUGACUGUGCCCAGCAGCUGGGCAGAUUCAGACAAAGGGCUCCUGGGCCCUGGCAGGGAAUGCCAGGCCAUGUCUGGGGGCCAAGUCGGUGGGAGCACCAAAAGACUCCCACCCCAGAAACUCCUUCUGGUGAAAUGUAAACCAGGAAUAAUAACAUGAAAGAUUGCGAGACUCCACUACAGGGCACCACGGACACCUGGAGUCUGGGGGCCAUCCCGGCACACCCUAUCCUGCCUCAUAGCCUUCAAAGGGUCACAGCACUCAGGACACCCCAGAGCCUUGCCCUCAGGGUGGCAUGGGCUUUUCUCCCUUCCCCAUGGUUUCCCUCUGCCAGAUGUUCUAUCGGCUGCUUUCCAGACUGGCUUCUCUCAUCGCUCCAUCACAUGCCCACCCCCCUACACCCCAUCUUAUUUUCCUAGUUUUCUUGCCUGAAAUAUUAUUUGUACACAUGUAUAUUGUCCCCUCAAUUCAAAUAUAAAUACCACAAAGGCAGGGGCCUUGCUGACUUCUGCCCCAUGGGGCCUAGAGCAGAGCCUAACAAACUGCAUAAUUACUUGUUGAACCAUGAGUAAAGCGGAGUCCAGCCCCACUGGUGGGUAAAGACAGGCAGGGACUCUAUCCUGGUGAACCACACUAUGGGUCCACGGAGCUAUGGCAGGAAGUGGAACAUCAGGGAAAAGCAAUUGGGAAAAAUGUUAUAAAAUAUGUAUAAAGAACAUGAUUAUUUUUUGUUAAAAAAAAUAUAGAGAUAUAUAUAUAGAUAUAGUGCAUAGAAAAAGGAGAGCACACAAAUGUUUAACAGGUCUCAGGAUGAUGGAAUGACUGGUGAAUUUUCCUUUAUAUUUUUUAAACUUACCACAAUAAAUAUAUUACU